GCUGGGCGUGGCGGUGGGUGCCUGUAAUCCCAGCUACUCAGGAGGCUGAGGCAGGAGAAUCACUUGUGCCCAGGAGGCGGAGGUUGCAGCGAGCUGAGAUUGUGCCACUGCACUCCAGUCUGGGCAACAGAGUGAGACUCUGCCUCAC
rnacentral:SRP_RNA from 1 species